rnacentral:rRNA from 1 species
GACGAACGCUGGCGGCGUGCUUAACACAUGCAAGUCGAACGGAAAGGCCCUGCUUUUGUGGGGUGCUCGAGUGGCGAACGGGUGAGUAACACGUGAGUAACCUGCCCUUGACUUUGGGAUAACUUCAGGAAACUGGGGCUAAUACCGGAUAGGAGCUCCUGCUGCAUGGUGGGGGUUGGAAAGUUUCGGCGGUUGGGGAUGGACUCGCGGCUUAUCAGCUUGUUGGUGGGGUAGUGGCUUACCAAGGCUUUGACGUGUAGCCGGCCUGAGAGGGUGACCGGCCACAUUGGGACUGAGAUACGGACCAGACUCCUACGGGAGGCAGCAGUGGGGAAUAUUACACAAUGGGCGGAAGCCUAAUGCAGCAACGCCGCGUGCGUGAUGACGGCCUUCGGGUUGUAAACCGCUUUCGCCUGUGACGAAGCGUGAGUGACGGUAAUGGGUAAAGAAGCACCGGCUAACUACGUG